CCAUAGAAACCCUGCUGCCCUCUCUCACCCCUUCCUUUUUUGUUACAGGCAAGAAAAUUGUCGGUGCUACUUGCAAUCCAUGCAGAAAACAUAUUUCCCAGCAGGAACACAGAAGUGAAAUGCAUAUUGUCCUCAAGGCAGAAAAGAUUGCCACAAGUGUCUCCAGGAAACAUUGCAGGUUAUAGUCCCAGCAGUGUGAACGUUAUGAGGGCUGUAAAUGAUGAAAGGGAAGAAGAAGGCAACAGAUGAGCAAUGCUUCAGUCUCUGAGCCUUUGGAGGCUAGAGCUAUCCAUGAACAAGUGAUGGAAGGCUUGUGGUUUGAAGGCACUGUGUAGGUUCCACCCACAGUGCUUGACACAUGUUAUUUUAUAAUCAUACUCUACUGUUCUCCUGUGCCUGUAAGAGAUUCAGAGAUUCAAUAGUUCUAAUGUUUAUAAUGCUGUUCAAGCUUCCUAGAUGAAUAUCACAUUAGUGACACUUACUACAG
rnacentral:lncRNA from 1 species